UUAGCAAGUAGCGAUCACACUGUAUGAUUUUUGAGCCCGAAGAUACAGCGGAACUUAUUUCAAGAGAAAAACAGGAGGCAAAGAAGCCAGUCUUAGAGAAGAUGCUUUCAUUCGUUGUUUAUUUCUUUUUGGGUAAUUGAGUAGCAAAGCGGAGGGCAAUUUAUUGUAACUACACUAGUAGCAUGUGCAUUCAUCGUUGUCGUCACAUAGCUUAUGCAGGUGGUAUCUUAGGAACCAUAGCUCACCUUAAUAUAAUUAUUGCUGUUGAUUUGGAUACCAUUUUUAGGAGGGUAUGCAUGGGGUUAGUAUGUAUUUUCUAUUCCAGUUGAAUUAGAUUUGACAGUAAUUCAUAUUCAUGGGUGAAACGGGUUUUUCAUUUUUAAAAAAAAAAUUAAGAGGGUGUUUAUGAAAAUUGAUAUCUUGGGUUAGCUGCUUUUUUCGUUCAUUUUCUUGAAUACGAGUUCAUCCUUAUUUUUAUUUUGGAUAAAUAAGUCUUUAUUCUGUCUUGGGGGGUGAUUGGUUUGAAGGUAUGACUGUGGGUGGUUUUUUUUGUAGGAUUUAUAUAAAAAUCAUGUAUAUUUUGUAUUUGUGAUGUGUGGUUUGUGUUUUAAGAGAGC
rnacentral:lncRNA from 1 species